rnacentral:rRNA from 1 species
AUUUUUUUGUGUUAAUUAAAAGUGAAUCCUGCUCAAUGUAAAAUAAAUAGCCGCGGUAUUUUGACUGUGCAAAGGUAGCAUAAUAAUUAGUCUUGUAAUUUAAGACUGGGAUGAAAGGAUAAACUAAAAGGCUUCUUUCUUAUUUAUUGAUUUUAAACUUUACUUUUUAGUAAGAAGGCUAAAAUAUCUCUUUUAGACAAGAAGACCCUAUAAAACUUUACAUAGAAGGAUUUAAUAAAUUAAUAAUAUGUUUUGCUGGGGCGGUAAAAAGAAAAACACUUUUAAAUUAUUAGAAAUGUUAUUAUUUUAAUACCCAAAAGUUUUGAAGUUUAAAUAAGUUACUUUAGGGAUAACAGCGUUAUAUAUCUUGAGAGCUCGAAUUGACAGAUGUGUUUGCGACCUCGAUGUUGGAUUAAAUUUCCUUCAUUGCGCAAGAGUGAUAGAAGGGGGUCUGUUCGACCUUUAAAUGUUUCCA